rnacentral:rRNA from 1 species
GACGAACGCUGGCGGCGUGCUUAACACAUGCAAGUCGAACGGAAAGGCCCUGCUUUUGUGGGGGGCUCGAGUGGCGAACGGGUGAGUAACACGUGAGUAACCUGCCCUUGACUUUGGGAUAACUUCAGGAAACUGGGGCUAAUACCGGAUAGGAGCUCCUGCGGCAUGGUGGGGGUUGGAAAGUUUCGGCGGUUGGGGAUGGACUCGCGGCUUAUCAGCUUGUUGGUGGGGUAGUGGCUUACCAAGGCCUUGACGGGUAGCCGGCCUGAGAGGGUGACCGGCCACAUUGGGACUGAGAUACGGCCCAGACUCCUACGGGAGGCAGCAGUGGGGAAUAUUGCACAAUGGGCGGAAGCCUGAUGCAGCAACGCCGCGUGCGGGAUGACGGCCUUCGGGUUGUAAACCGCUUUCGCCUGUGACGAAGCGUGAGUGACGGUAAUGGGUAAAGAAGCACCGGCUAACUACGU